CCCUUAGAUGUCCUGGGCCGCACGCGCGCUACACUGACAUGUUCAACAAGCCUCCUAGUUCGACAGGAUUUGGGAAAUCUUUGAACGCAUGUCGUGAUAGGGAUAGAUCAUUGCAAUUAUUGAUCUUGAACGAGGAAUUCCUAGUAAACGCGAGUCAUCAGCUCGCAUUGAUUACGUCCCCGCCCUUUGUACACACCGCCCGUCGCACCUACCGAUUGAAUGUUUCGGUGAAGAUUCCGGAUAGGACUUUUUUGAUUUAUUUCAAUUCUGUCUUAAAAGCUAUCUAAACCUCAACAUUUAGAGGAAGGUGAAGUCGUAACA
rnacentral:rRNA from 1 species